rnacentral:misc_RNA from 1 species
GAUGAAGAACGUAGCGAAAUGCGAUAAGUAAUGUGAAUUGCAGAAUUCAGUGAAUCAUCGAAUCUUUGAACGCACAUUGCGCCCCCUGGUAUUCCGGGGGGCAUGCCUGUUCGAGCGUCAUUUCACCACUCAAGCCUCGCUUGGUAUUGGGCAACGCGGUCCGCCGCGUGCCUCAAAUCGACCGGCUGGGUCUUCUGUCCCCUAAGCGUUGUGGAAACUAUUCGCUAAAGGGUGUUCGGGAGGCUACGCCGUAAAACAACCCCAUUUCUAAGGUUGACCUCGGAUCAGGUAGGGAUACCCGCUGAACUUAAGCAUAUCAACAAGCGGAGGA